UACGGGGGGAGCAAGCGUUGUUCGGAUUUACUGGGCGUAAAGGGCGCGUAGGCGGUCAGCACAAGUCAGUUGUGAAAUCUCCGGGCUUAACUCGGAAAGGUCAACUGAUACUGUGCGACUAGAGUGCAGAAGGGGCAACUGGAAUUCUCGGUGUAGCGGUGAAAUGCGUAGAUAUCGAGAGGAACACCUGCGGCGAAGGCGGGUUGCUGGGCUGACACUGACGCUGAUGCGCGAAAGCCAGGGGAGCGAAAGGG
rnacentral:rRNA from 1 species